AUUGAACGCUGGCGGCAGGCCUAACACAUGCAAGUCGAACGAGUGGCGGACGGGUGAGUAAUGUCUGGGAAACUGCCUGAUGGAGGGGGAUAACUACUGGAAACGGUAGCUAAUACCGCAUACCAUCAGAUGUGCCCAGAUGGGAUUAGCAAGUUGGUGGGGUAACGGCUCACCAAGGCGACGAGCCCUAGCUAUGCUGAGAGGAUGACGUGCCACCCUGGAACUGUGACACGGACCAGACCCCUACGGGAGGCAGCAGUGGGAAAUAUUGCACAAUGGGCGCAAGCCUGAUGCAGCCAUUCCGCGUGUAUAAAGAAGGCCUUCGGGUUGUAAAGUACUUUCAGCGAGGAGGCGUUACCCGCAGAAGAAGCACCGGCUAACUCCGUGCCAGCAGCCGCGGUAAUUC
rnacentral:rRNA from 1 species